rnacentral:rRNA from 1 species
UACGGAGGGUGCGAGCGUUGUCCGGAAUCACUGGGCGUAAAGGGCGCGUAGGUGGCGCGGGCAGUCAACGGUGAAAGUUCGGGGCUCAACCCUGAAUCGGCCGUCGAUACUCCCGUGCUUGAGCACUGUAGAGGCAGGCGGAAUUCCGGGUGUAGCGGUGGAAUGCGUAGAGAUCCGGAAGAACACCGGUGGCGAAGGCGGCCUGCUGGGCAGUGGCUGACGCUGAGGCGCGACAGCGUGGGGAGCAAACAGG